rnacentral:rRNA from 1 species
AUUGAACGCUGGCGGCAUGCCUUACACAUGCAAGUCGAACGGCAGCACGGGCUUCGGUCUGGUGGCGAGUGGCGAACGGGUGAGUAAUAUAUCGGAACGUACCCAAGAGUGGGGGAUAACGUAGCGAAAGUUACGCUAAUACCGCAUACGAUCUAAGGAUGAAAGCAGGGGACCACAAGGCCUUGUGCUCCUGGAGCGGCCGAUAUCUGAUUAGCUAGUUGGUGGGGUAAAGGCCCACCAAGGCAUCGAUCAGUAGCUGGUCUGAGAGGACGACCAGCCACACUGGAACUGAGACACGGUCCAGACUCCUACGGGAGGCAGCAGUGGGGAAUUUUGGACAAUGGGGGCAACCCUGAUCCAGCAAUGCCGCGUGAGUGAAGAAGGCCCUCGGGUUGUAAAGCUCUUUUGUCAGGGAAGAAAAGGGAUUGGCUAAUAUCCAGUCCUCAUGACGGUACCUGAAGAAUAAGCACCGGCUAACUACGUGCCAGCAGCCGCCGUAA